rnacentral:rRNA from 1 species
CCUACGGGAGGCAGCAGUGGGGGAUAUUGCACAAUGGGGGAAACCCUGAUGCAGCGACGCCGCGUGAGUGAAGAAGUAAUUCGGUAUGUAAAGCUCUAUCAGCAGGGAAGAAAAUGACGGUUCCUGAGUUAGAAGCCCCGGCUAACUAAGGUCCAGCAGCCGCGGUAAUACGUAGGGGGCAAGCGUUAUCCGGAUUUACUGGGUGUAAAGGGAGCGUAGACGGCAGUGCAAGUCUGGAGUGAAAGGCCCGGGCUCAACCCCCGGACUGCUUUGGAAACUGUACGGCUGGAGUGCAGGAGAGGUAAGUGGAAUUCCUAGUGUAGCGGUGAAAUGCGUAGAUAUUAGGAGGAACACCAGUGGCGAAGGCGGCUUACUGGACUGUAACUGACGUUGAGGCUCGAAAGCGUGGGGAGCAAACAGGAUUAGAUACCCUAGUAGUC